GUUGAUACCAGACAACGCCCCCCACUGCUCUCAAGCAAUUACGUCAAUACGCCGGGACGUAACGGCGCUGCUCCCAUGGAUGCAAAAUGGCGGCAGUUAACCUGAACUUCACCUCUGGAAAAGGCCCCGGGGGACACGCAUCCAGGACUUGCCAGUUGUUCAUCGCAGUUUGAGGGCUUGUUCGGAGAACUGAGUCCACAUACACAGACAGACUAAUCAAGAACUGGUUUGCAGUACGGCAGUGUUGGUUCCAGAGGUUUACUCCCUGUAUCCGAUUCAUGUCCGUUUUCCUAGAAUCAUGGAAAGAUCACAGAACAGGAGGCCAUUUCAUACAUUGUCAAAGCCAAAGCAGGACAUUGGAAGUGGAUGUUUUUAAAAGAAAUCACAAUACACUCUGGUGACAUUUAAAUAAUCAGGAAAUGGGUGUUAUCAGACUUUGAACACAUCAUUUCUCCUUCAACAUUCAGAGGCCAAUGAUGUUCAGAUCCUGUUGGAUUGAGUGACCAUCAGAUUUUGACGUGUUGUCUCUGGUUUGUAAAUACAAUCUUCUGCAUACCCUGUUAAAUGAGUUUAAAUCAAAAUAUUUAAAAUAUGAAAUAAACAUA